rnacentral:lncRNA from 1 species
CUUUCCUGUUCACAUUGUCCAGGUUCAGCAAAAAUCCAUUAAGUCUCUGCAGAAGUUUCAGCUUGGAGAAAGUCAGCCUUCCCUGAAUAUAGAGAUAAACCAAUAGAGUCCCAAGGAGUCAAUCUUCAUUUUGUAUGUGGUCCAACAUUCCUCUCUAAUCCUUUAUAAAAACAUGGUGGAGGGGCGAGUGAGGGUUAAUUUUAAUAGUUAACAUGACUGGAUUAAGGAAUAUAGAGAGAACUGGUAAAGUAUCACUGAUCAGUGGGUCGUGAGGGUGUUUCCAGAGGAGACUGGUGUGUGAGUCAGUGGAUCAUGUGGGGAAGACCCACCCUCAAUGUGGGAGAGCAUCAUUCAAGCAGCUGUGGACUAGGAUAAAACAAAAAUAGAGAGAAAAGGGUUUCCUUUUGUUCUCUCCUGGAGCUGGGACACUCUUCAUCUCCUGAACUUUGGACAUUAGAAUUCCAUUCUCCCUGGCCUUGAGACUCUGAGACUUACACAAGCAGCCCCACCCAGGUUCUCAGGCCUUCGGACUCACAUUGAGAAUUACACCAUCAGCUUCCCUGGUUCUGAUUCUUUAGAACUUGGACUGAGCCACGCUACUAUCAUCCCAGGGUCUCCAGCUUACAAGUGUCCUGCCAUGGGACUUCUCAGCCUCCAUAAUCAUAUAGAUGAUACCAAAGCGGCCAACGAGUUUAAAACUCUUUUUGCGCAGUAGGAAUGACUCCAUGAAGAUUUCUCAUCAUGGAGCCCAGACUAGAUGGACCCAAAUCUCCAGACUCCCAGCUCUUCUGUAAACCCCAUCCUGAUUCUCUGAGUCUCUGAAUCUUUUAUCCUCAUUUUCUUCCCAACUGUCCAUAAUGUAGAAUUUAAAUAAAAGAUUAAAUGUAAUCUUUAUAACAUUAUUAUAUUAUUGAACAGUUUCAGGUUUCUUGUUCUUAUUUACAAAAAACUAAUAAGUAGAAAUUUUAUACUUCUCUGAGCAUAAAACUAUACAAAAUAAAAAUUAUAUAAAAUUAAUUUGAUUUUCACUUAUGAGGUCUAUAAUUAUUCCCUUCAUGGUUAAUUAUCCUCAAUAGGAAACAAAUGGUUUCCUACCUUCUUACUAAGUUACAAAACUCUCAUUUAUUAAUAAUCAUUUAUAUUAAUAAUAAUUACUAAAUUGAAUAUGCCAGCUCUUACCAGAUUUAUGCUAGACUUUAAUAAGUCCCUCUCUUCCCAGAAGCAGGAACAAAGUAGAGAUGCAUCAAAUGAGCUAAAUCUAAUCUAAUUUUCCUUAUUGAGACUGGUUCUUAGGACCCUUCUUUCAUACUCUGGAAACUGGGACACACUUGUAAAUAUUAAGU